GGCACUUUGGCCGAGUGGUUUUAAGGCGAUCGCUUGCUAUUGGCUGUGAGCGGUUGACGUAAGUCGCGUGAGUUCGAAUCUCACAGGUGUCG